CUUGGUCAUUUAGAGGAAGUAAAAGUCGUAACAAGGUCUCCGUUGGUGAACCAGCGGAGGGAUCAUUACAGAGUUGCAAAACUCCCAACCCUUUGUGAACGAACCUACCAGUUGCUUCGGCGGCAGACCCCUCUGGGGCCUAGCCUUUACGGGUACCCCGCCGGAGUCCUACAAACUCUUGAUUUUUUGGCAUCUCUGAGUAGCUUAUAAAUAAGUUAAAACUUUCAACAACGGAUCUCUUGGUUCUGGCAUCGAUGAAGAACGCAGCGAAAUGCGAUAAGUAAUGUGAAUUGCAGAAUUCAGUGAAUCAUCGAAUCUUUGAACGCACAUUGCGCCCGCCAGUAUUCUGGCGGGCAUGCCUGUUCGAGCGUCAUUUCAACCAUCAAGCCCUGCUUGUGUUGGGGUCCUGCGGCUGCCCGCAGGCCCUGAAGACCAGUGGCGGGCUCGCUAGUCACACCGAGCGCAGUAGCACAUCUCGCUUUGGUCGUGCGGCGGGUUCUUGCCGUAAAACACCCCCCUUUUAUCAAGGUUGACCUCGGAUCAGGUAGGAAUACCCGCUGAACUUAAGCAUAUCAAUAAGCGGAGGAAAAGAAACCAACAGGGAUUGCCCUAGUAACGGCGAGUGAAGCGGCAACAGCUCAAAUUUGAAAUCUGGCUUCGGCCCGAGUUGUAAUUUGUAGAGGGAGCUUUUGGCGAGGCACCUACUGAGUCCCCUGGAACGGGGCGCCAUAGAGGGUGAGAGCCCCGUAUAGUAGGACGCCGAGCCUUUGUAAAGCCCCUUCGACGAGUCGAGUUGUUUGGGAAU
rnacentral:sRNA from 1 species